GGCGCGAUGGCAGAGUGGUUAAUGCGCAAGACUUGAAAUCUUGUUCCCUUGGGAGCGUAGGGUGAGUUGCAAACUCUCACGCUAUGAUAUUCGGUUGAUACUAACGUACUUGGCAGUUCGAACCCUACUCGCGCCG